rnacentral:lncRNA from 1 species
UUGAUACACAGUAAGUGCCCAGUCAGUGUCAGCUCUCUGAUACAACAAAAGGUUACUCAUUAUUCUCUGAGUGGCUCUUCCCAACUAAGAGACACUGAUUGCAGCCUGUCUUUUAAAUCACAGCGUAGUCUUUGGGUUUUUUUGUUUCUACUUCUUCACAUUGGACUUUCUGGAAACUUCCUCCAGUGUUCACCUCUCUUGGCCUAGGGCAUCUGGACACUUUACCUGGGCAGCCAGGUGUCAGUCCCAUAGGGCGUGUUGGACUCAUUCCUGGAUUGGCAGGUUUCUGAUUUCUUCACCGGAUCACUCCGGAGCUGGCUCUUUUUCCAGUGGCUUCCUGUCACCUGAAACGAGAGCUCACAGCUUCAGGAGGAAGGUAGAAAUUUGAGGUGGAGAAGGGCGAGGCAGAUGCAAGAUGCAAUUACAUCCUGCCUCCUCCACCCCUCAACCGCCCCACCCUACGCCUGGGGAGAAGUCUAGAGUCAGGGUGGGGAGCUGUUUAUCUCAUCCCUGUUUCUCCCAGGCUGUGCAGUCUUGGACAAGGCACUUGACUUUACUCUGCCUUCUCGGUUAUACAACAAAUACCCACAUUUUUCUUAGUUCAGAGCACAAACUGCAGGACUGGAAACCCAGCUCUGCUCUGUAUUAACUUUGCCUUUUGGACCUCACUGUGGUGGGGUAAAAUGGGAAUUGAAACAGUACCCUCCUCUUGCAAUGACUGCCACGCUGCAGUGGAAUGGCAUCUGGUAGGGAUGCUCCCUGGGGGUUACUGUUACCAUCUCCACCAAGACAUCACUUUGUAUCAAGUGCUGGGAGAGUUAGCUUGCAACCUCACUUCAGCCCUCCUUUCGGGCCUGUGUUGUUUCCAUGUGAGCUCUGGCAUCCCUCCAUCAGGAAUGGGAACAGCCAGGGAGUCCAGCAAGUGAGUCACAGACCAGGGUCGCACAAGGUCAAAGGCUGCUACACCUUUCCCAGUUUCAGCUCUUACCUUCCCUGGAAGGCCAUUGUAAACUCUAGUACUUCUAAAGACAAGGGCUGCGGUGGGGUGAGUCAGAAGUGGAGCCAGAGAAGGAAAGCUAAGGACCUAGGGAACACCAGAGAGAGAGGUGGCCCUGAGACCCCUUGAUUUUCCCUAACUUUGCCUAAGAACAAAUAACCUAACCCUGACUACACUCACCACCUUCUCUGGGUCCCUUGAGGGACCCUGUGAGUGAGGAAGGUGGCUGAACAGUUUUGAUUCCUCACAGUGGUGUGUUUCCUCCUUGUACUGAGAGAACUCAGCUCGCCAGCAUUUUUGGCUUCUACUCACUCCUCAUUCGGAUGGAGCCCAGAAACUCGGGGCACCGGACUGGAACUCAAGAACUCUGGAAGGCCAGGAUGACAGAAAAGUAAUAGGUCUCUGCUUCUCAGAGUGUCCUAGGUCUCUGCUUCUCAUGGUAACCGUCCAGUAGAAGCCUAGUGAAGAGAUCUAACGAGGGUGGGCCAGGCGCAACCAGAGUUGUGGACCCAACUGAGGCUCCAAAUCUACUUCUUAACUUUCAACCUCAGAUCCGUUAAUAUACAUUUAUACACACACACACACACACACACACACACACACACACACACUCUGUCCCUCCAGUCCCAGAAUAUAGAAUCAUGGGGGGGGGGGCAGGGGGGAGCUACCAGCUGUUGUGCUUCUCCUCUGGGUGUUGAGAAAGAUUUGGAACGGAAUUGGCUCCAUGGGGGAUUUCCGGGAGCAGAAUCCCUCCCUCCAGUGGCACUCAGCUCCUGUUUUCACCUUGUGAGGAGGAGGUGCAGGCAAAGCCACACCCAGCAACACAAAUGGGUCU